GUUUUGAUUAUUCAUUGUAUUUAUUGAUUUUUUUUUUUUAAUUUCGGUAUCUUUUGACUCCAUUAGAGCAAAAUGCUUCCCAGAUCUCCACACUCCAGAGGACUUCAGUGUCCAGCCCAGCCCGUGCCAAAAUUGUGCUCCGAUUGAAUUCACCGCUUUAUUUCUUCUCUGAAGCACAUGGGAGCCACUGCAUCUCCUCUCACUCCCCUGAGGGAUUUGGGGGUUUUUUUUAGCGUUUUUUAAAGUAGGUUCUUCAUUAAUCUGUUUGUCUUAAGCUGCUUAAAAAUACUCAUUGGGUGUAUCAGGAGCCAAGGGCUUAAAAAAAAAAAGUGCAGGAUUUGUGAAGGAUUGACUUGAAUUUCUCGACUGUCUGGAACUGGCAUUACAGCUCAACAUCCUAUAAAAGGAUGAUGUUCCUGCUUUCUUUGUGUACUCACCAGCCCAAUUUUAUGUUCAUGAAGCAAAGUCAGGUGGUUUUUUUUCCAUUUUGUGAUUUUACUGCCUUCUGCUGGUCAGAAAUGACCAGGCUGAGUUUAAUUUUUUAUAAUCAGCACAUUAUCUAAAAUUUAGCUUCAGUGCAAAUACCAACAGUAGAUGUUUUGUGUAUUUCCCAGUGGUUUUUUCGGCAAUCUCAUGGAUAUAUUUCAUAUAGCAGGGUCAGUCAGUGAAGACAAUCCUAGGUAUUAAUAUGCAAAUCAGACAACAUCAUGUUCCAAAGGUUCUGCCUGUUGGCUUGAAGUGGGGAUGUAGCAGAUCACCUUUCUAAUCCUUCCCUGCCUUUCAACUCACUGCUUGCCCUUUGCUUCCAAGCAAAGAUAAAGAUUUAAAAAUAAACCCCAAGUUGCUGUUUGUUGUAAACAAACUGUGGUCCCACAAUAGUGGGUGAUCUAUCAGUGCAGAAGGAAACGGGCCUCCUGCAACCAGAAUUUCAUGAUCUUUUUCAGGAAUAAUAGUUGUUUAAAGUUUUAUCUUUGCUUUUAUUCUCGAAGACAAAGAUGAAUGUGCUUGUCUCUCUGUGUAUGGGCUUGAAUGUGGAGAGCUGAGUAGAUAACGUGGCUCGGAUCUGGCUAAAUGUUGAACAAAGAAUUACCCAGUUCAUCAAAGGAAGUGGCUGUUCCCUUGCCUGAAAUCAGUUGCCUGCACCUUCCUGCUCUGAAAUGGAAUAACUGUGCCCUGAUGCCCUGAGUUGACACAACGUGCCAUCUGGAUAUACACUGGAAAUCCCUCGGGCAGACAGGUAGACACCAAAUGGCAAUGGCAAGACUUAAAAUUAGAGGAGAUACUCUCUGAUUUAUGGAGAUACACAACAUUAUCCACCAAAUACUGCAGAGUGGUAAGAGAACACUGGGCAGUGGGGAAUGAAGCUCCUACUCCUGUAUCUCCCACUGUAUUCCUACUUGAUCUGGGAAUUCAUCUGAGCACCAUCAAUAAUCUACGAUAUAUUUAGAAAACCUCAUUAAACAUUUGGCCAAAUGUGCUUUCUCAAACACCUGUUUGGCUGCUGUCUGAGCAGAGCAGACCCUGGGUCACAGAGCUUGAGAGAAGGGAAUUUUUCCUCAUUUAUUUUUAGUUUCAUUUCCUAGGGAAGUAAGCCAUCUGUGAUCUGUUUCCCUCUGGAAAGUUUUGAAGCUGCUCUGAAGUUUAAGUUUGCAGAGCCUCAGAGAUACUAAAUACCUCCAGUUUUUGUGGAAGUAAAAAGAGACCCUGGAACAGGAUAACAGAAAAACAUGGGAAUCCGGGCUGUGUGAACUUGUGCCCCAUCCUUUCAAGCAGCAAUGAGAGUGGAAGGGGCAGUGUGAGCCUGGAUUGCUGCUCAGGUGGUUGUCUCCCCCAAAGUAGCCAGCACACUUCUGCUUGUACCACUUAAUCCACCCACAACCAGAUUUCUUUAUCCCAGGAUUAGGUAGGGAAGAGGAGGAUUCAGCAGGAUACUUGUAAGAGUCUGUGCCCAGGCUGCCCUUAAUGUAAGAUCUUGGUUGUAUUUCCUCUUGGAGGAGGAAAUAAAGAGCUCAUUAGUGGCAUUUACAGAGUGUUAAACUGGGAGAGAUCAAAAGCUGUGCUGGAGUAGAAACAUAAACUGCCUGAAAAUGAUAAACAUGAGCAGAAAUUGAUGGAAGCUCAGUUGGGAAGACCGUGAGUCCUCCUCUGAGGAGAUUGAACUUCAUGCACCCAUCUACUAAAAUGAAGAACUCGAAGGUAAAUAAUUUCAGAAGACAAAGAAUAAAGGCAAAAGGGAAGCUGACACCAAAUACCACUAUCUGAAGAAGGCUCUAGAAAGGUUAGGACAGUGCUGUGGAUCUAUGAAGGAAAUAAUAUAAAUGUGAGGGAUAUAGCAAAGGCUGCAGGCAUUUGGAGAGUCCUCACUCCUCCUUUCCUCUCCUGGUUUCUCAUUCAUCCAACAGAAUUUGGGCACUGGGCAGACAAGGCUACUCCUUUUCUGAGAACAGCAACAUCCUCUCUCUUGCCAUACAUGUCUAGAGAAGAUCCCUCUGCUUGUGCAGUUCACAUUACACGUGUAGUUCCUUGUCCUUAAACACAUUAUUUGGCAAAAGAAGCAGAGAUUUGGCCCUUCGUGAGUGUGACUCGUUCCCUGUAGCUGCCAGGAGGUGGCUCUCUGCAUUUGCAGUCCCUGUUUACUAUUUUGUUUAUGGAAUUAUGUUGGACACGUUUUCCGUGGAAAAUGUUUUCAGUGUGUUUGCCUUGAGGAAGUUUACGUAAGGAGAACAAGGAAGCCAUGAGCUCAGUAAAUAGUUUGCUAAAAAACAAGGCACAGAGCGGUUCACUUUUGUCAGAAUGUUUUAUGGCUACAAUCCAAAGGGAUUUUUCUUGUGCAGGACCUAAUCUUUUCAUUGUAAGAUUACGUAUGUCAGGCUCAAGGAGUUACAUCUCUGUUUGCAGGAUGCAUUUACCAGAUUUGAUUAUAGCUGAGUAAAAGUCAUUCUCAAUAAAAAAAAGCAUUUUAGUCACA